UAGUGCCAACCUAGCAUUAAUUCUCUUGGUAACCAUAGUAAUAAAGAACCACAGCUUAUAAGCGGUGUUCUGGUGGCCGGUGACUUUAUAGUCGCCGGUCACUGAUCUUUCUUUUUUUUUCUGUUUUUUGUUGUAUUAUAAUCUUCGAUCUCUAAGAUCGAUCUUAUCUUCCGGUUGCGGAUAGUUCUUUUCGUGAUAGGCGAUAUGUUGUGUUAAAGUAUUUUGGUGUGUUAAAAUCCGUUUCUUGGCUUUUUUUAUUUUAUUCUUAUCGUGUUUAAUUUUGAGGGGUUCUUAAUCUAUUCGUUAGAUAAGCUUGGCUUCUUACUCAGAUGAGGUAUCAAUCUUCGUUAAAAGAAUAUUAUCGCGUAGUAUCCAAUCGAGUAUGAAAUCAAGAUGAUUGAUCAAGCGAUGGAGAAUCGAUGCAGUUUCAGAUAAGCCGGAGUUCUCUGUUAUGAAGAGCCUUAAAACAUCAACAGCGAUCUCAGAAAGGAAGAGCGGUCAAGCAAUUUCAACCUAAUCGAAGAAAGGUGUUUGGGUCAUCGAUCUGGCUGUUUCUCCGGUGAUACCUCUGACGUCCUCUUUCGAUUCCAGAUUCGUCUUUUCCACAUGAUGGGACACGUGGUGAUCAUGCAAUCCAAACCUUAUAUUUUUAACACGUGUUUUCUUGUUGUAAAUUUUAUUUUCAGAAUGUGGACAAGAUUUGGGCUGAAUAUGUAUAUGAGACUGGGCUGAGUUGUUUGUA